UGACGCAAACAUCCUGCCUCUCUACCUGCGGGCAGCAAGCAGAGGGUUAAAGGCCCUGGGAGGGAGGAGGAGACGCCAAAAGAUUCUUCCCCGCAGCUCCUCCAUUUGCCUUCAAGGAGGGGAGACGUUUUCACUCUUCUUGGAAAAACUUUGAAAUGUAAACUGUUUCGAUUGAUGGCUCCUUCUGGCCCUGGCAACUCUUUUUGGUAGCUGGUGCUCUUUCUGUAAUACUUGUUAAAAACGUCUCCGUAGCAAAGAUGUUGUUUUUUAUGUGAUUUUUUUUUAAGUCGGCGCAUGUGUGAGGACAGACAGGCUCUCAUCUCCUGCGUUGGAGACCGCAGCAUGCCAGCAUGUGUGUCCUCAGUGCACUGUGAUUUCGAGGUGGUGUGUACAAGCCCUGUGCCAGAGUCCCUGCCUUCAAGAUGCUUAGAACUGAGUUCGAAAACAAGAUUAGGAAAAGAACAGACAAAAGUAUGUGGAAACAAUGCAGAUCAGACCCGUGGUGACAGAGUGCCUUGCGAGGUCGGUGCUGGCUGGCUUCUCUUCUCCGCUUGCUCUGUCUUCCUUGUUCUUGCUCCUGCUGAGGCCACAGGAGCUGUGUGGGUUCCUGAUUUCCAUUACUGGGGGAAACAUUUGAGCUAAUGUGAAACCAACGGUUGAGACCUUCGUGUAGAUGAGAUGGAAGUCUUGGGGUCCCUCACUGGCCUUUUCAGAAAGGAUUAGGUUUUCAUUACAUUUCUGUCUCCAAAAGUUUGCUUUCUUUCUUAUAAUGGGGCUUAAGUUUGCCCAAGAGAAUGACUACACUUUACUUUCACAGAGGAUGUAGUAUUCUCAUUUGUAAAAUGAAGGAAAAUUUGUUAAAACAUGUAAGCAACUGAUGACACCUAAGAUCCCUUCUGAAGUAAAAAGUUUCUUUUUUUUUGCUUUGAAAUGAUAGAUAACAUUAUGGAAGUCCAAUUUUGAUUAAUUUUGAGUUCUAAAGCCUAAUGCAUAGUUUAAAAAAAAAAGUCCUAAAAGCAUUUAAAUUAAAAUGUGUUUUGAUUUUGAUUAAAUAAUAAUGGAAAGAUAAAAGAUUAAUUCAGCCAAGCAAGAUCUGUGUUUUAGGAUUUGAAGAUAGAAUCAAGGUUAAAACAGAAAGAUAGAGAGACAGAGACAGAGACAGAGACAGAGAGAGAUGUUUUAAGAACCCCAGUGAAACUCUGCAAUUGUUUUACAAAUUGUUUAGCUGGUUCCCCUGUACUAAGUCUUUUUAACUUUCUCCUUCAUUCUGCUGUAGACACAGGGACGUAAGUGAAAAGUCUUUUGAACGCCAGAGUUACAGAAUGGGUGUGUGUCAUUUCAGCACUAUGUACUGUAUUAAGUCAGAACAAAGAUAUUUAAAAAAAUCUUUGCCUUUGCAAGAGUAUGGACAAGAAGGGGCUGGGGAUUUAGCUCAGCGGCAUAAGCACCUGCCUUGCAAACAUGUGGUCAUGAGUUCAAUUCCUGGUACUGAUUAAAAAAAAAAAGGUAUGGACAAGAAAUUACUGAAGUGAGUAAAUUUGAAUUUUUUAAAGUGAGAUAAAUUUCAUGUAUUUAUCAUAUACAGCCCGAUGCUUAGAUACAUGACUACAUCAUGGAACGAUUCAAUCUAGACAAUUGAAGUCAUGGCAUUGCCUCACAUAAUUAUUUAUUUAUUUAUUUUUGUGCAAAUAGUUGACAUUUGUUUUCUGCAGUUUCCAGGAGGUACAAUGUGUCAUCAUUCCUGUAGUCACCAUGCUGCACAGUGGUUCUCUGGAACUUAUUCUUCAAUCUAACAUAUUCUUUACCUGUAUCUCUACCCUACCCGACCACUUCAGCCUCUAACGAUCCCCGCUGUACACCCUGUUUCUAUGAGAUCCAACAUUCCACGUCUGGGUAAAAUCACGGUGGUCUUUCUGUGCCUGGGUUAUUUCCCUUGAUCUUUCUUUCUUUUUUUUUCUUCUUUCCUUCCUUUUUUUUUUUGUACUGGAAAUCGAAUCAGGACCUUGCACUUGCCAGGCAGGCACUGUGCUGCUGAGCUAUGUCCCUGGCCAGAUCUCCUCUUUCUUAUCCACAUUGUCUCAAAUGGAAGAAUUUCCUUUUUUUCUGUAAUACCCUGAUUGUAUUACAUUGUGUAUUCAAAGGUGUGAUCAAAAUGUACCAGUACAGUUCUCGAUGAUUAGUGACACUAUUUUCCAUAUGUCUGUAGGAUAUACAGUGCACUUUUCAAAUAUUAUUUGUAUAUUUUCUUUUGAGAAAUAUCUAUUCAAUAUUUUGCCCAUUUUAAUGUGGUUAUUUAUUUACUUGCUACUGAGUCACUUUUCUUAUUUAUUUUAGAUGUUAACUUCUUUUUGGUGAAAGAUUUUCAGAUAUUUCAUUCCAUUCAACAUGUUUUUUUUUUUUUUCCACUCUGUUGAUCGAUUCAUCUGUGGUUUUGAGGUUUUUUUAGUGGGAUAUAAUUCCAUUUGUCUAAUUUUGCUUUUGUUGGCUAUGGUUUUGAGAUCAAAUCCAAAGUUUAUGAUUUCCUCUAAAUUUUCUUCUCCAUAAUAGUUUCAUUGUUAUGGAUCUUAAUGUGUUUAUUGUUAAUUUUUAUAAGAAUCUAAUUACAUUUUUAUGUAUGUGGAGGUUCAGUGUUCCCAACACCACUUAGAAAUCAUUUCUAUAUUGCAUAUUUUAUAAAAACUUUUUUUAGUCA